AGGCAGCCCCUUUGCAAAUGAAAAUUGCAGGGGAGGUGUUAAUCUGCUCAAAAAUCAAUUAAUCUUUUGUUCUUCAGACCUGCUGAACCCUUCCUUUGAAGCUGGUCUAGUAUAACCUAAGUUCAUA